AUAAAUAUACUGUGACCUGCAAAGGUCUAAUGUAUCCAACCCUUUGUGAAACUUCUAUUUUUGCUUCGGCAGCACUCCCAAUAGGUAAUACUAUUGGUGGGGUAAGGCUGUCAGAAGACCAAUAAAACUAGUUUGAUGAAAUGUCAUGCAGUCUGAUAAAUCAUUUUUUGAGAAAUCAAAUUAUGUUA
rnacentral:misc_RNA from 1 species